GGCCCCGUCGUCUAGCGGCCCAGGACGCCGCCCUCUCAAGGCGGUGGCGCCGGUUCGAAUCCGGUCGGGGCUACCA
rnacentral:tRNA from 1 species